AUGUUCCUACGGGACGCAGCAGUGAGGAAUAUUGGUCAAUGGGCGGGAGCCUGAACCAGCCAAGUCGCGUGAGGGAAGACGGUCCUAUGGAUUGUACACCUCUUUAGGCGGGGAGCAAUGCCGGGCACGCGUGUCCGGAGGGAGAGUACCCGCAGAAUAAGCAUCGGCUAACUCCGUGCCAGCAGCCACGGUAAUACGGAGGAUGCGAGCGUUAUCCGGAUUUAUUGGGUUUAAAGGGUGCGUAGGCGGAUUUUUAAGUCAGCGGUAAACUGUCCGGGCUCAACCCGGGCCGGCCGUUGAAACUG
rnacentral:rRNA from 1 species